rnacentral:rRNA from 1 species
UGGGGAAUAUUGCACAAUGGGCGCAAGCCUGAUGCAGCCAUGCCGCGUGUAUGAAGAAGGCCUUCGGGUUGUAAAGUACUUUCAGCGGGGAGGAAGGUGUUGAGGCUAAUAACCUCAGCAAUUGACGUUACCCGCAGAAGAAGCACCGGCUAACUCCGUGCCAGCAGCCGCGGUAAUACGGAGGGUGCAAGCGUUAAUCGGAAUUACUGGGCGUAAAGCGCACGCAGGCGGUCUGUCAAGUCGGAUGUGAAAUCCCCGGGCUCAACCUGGGAACUGCAUUCGAAACUGGCAGGCUAGAGUCUUGUAGAGGGGGGUAGAAUGCCAGGUGUAGCGGUGAAAUGCGUAGAGAUCUGGAGGAAUACCGGUGGCGAAGGCGGCCCCCUGGACAAAGACUGACGCUCAGGUGCGAAAGCGUGGGGAGCAAACA